rnacentral:tRNA from 1 species
GCCUGGAUGGCUCAGUCAGUUAAGCGUCCGACUUCAGCUCAGGUCAUGAUCUCAUGGUUCAUGGGUUCGAGCCCCGUGUCAGGCU